CAGUCGCCACGGUAAUACAGAGGGUGCAAGCGUUAAUCGGAUUUACUGGGCGUAAAGGGCGCGUAGGUGGUUAUUUAAGUGAGAUGUGAAAGCCCCGGGCUUAACCUGGGAACUGCAUCUUAUACUGGGUGACUGGAGUGCAGUAGAGGGUAGUGGAAUUCCUGGUGUAGCGGUGAAAUGCGUAGAUAUCAGGAGGAACACCUGUGGCGAAAGCGGCUCACUGGACCAUAACUGACGCUGAGGCACGAAAGCUAGGGGAGCAAACAGGAUUAGAUACCCCAGUAGUCCCUGUCUCUUAUAC
rnacentral:rRNA from 1 species